AAGGAUCAUUAAUGAAACUUCAAAGUCGGCCAAAGGUUGUUGCUGGUGAUUAUUCACAUGUGCACGCCUUUGGUCGCAAAUCCACACACACCUGUGCAUCUAUGACUCGAGGUUGUAAUGACUGAGAGUAACUUUUACACACUCUUGUAUGUAAUGGAAUGUCUUUUUGUGCUAUAAUGUACAAUAUAAACAACUUUCAACAACGGAUCUCUUGGCUCUCGCAUCGAUGAAGAACGCAGCGAAAUGCGAUAAGUAAUGUGAAUUGCAGAAUUCAGUGAAUCAUCGAAUCUUUGAACGCACCUUGCACCCUUUGGUAUUCCGAAGGGUACGCCCGUUUGAGUGUCAUUGUAAUCUCACUUCUACAACUUUAUUGUUGUUUGAAUGUGGACUUGGAUGUUGCCGUUUUAUCACGGCUCGUCUUAAAUGCCUGAGUGUACCCUGUUUUGCAGCGUAUCCAGUGUAAUAAAACAUUUCACUAGAGUUGGUCGAAAGACCGCGUUGACUAUAUGGGCUCUAUGCUUCAARCCGUCUGCCAUGUGGACAAUUUCUUGACAAUUUGACCUCAAAUCGGGUGGGACUACCCGCUGAACUUAAGCAUAUCAAUAAGCGGAGGAAAAGAAACUAACAAGGAUUCCCCUAGUAACGGCGAGUGAAGAGGGAAAAGCUCAAAUUUUAAAUCUGGUGUCUUUGACUCCCGAGUUGUAAUCUAGAGAAGUGUUUUCCGUGUCGGACCGUGUACAAGUUCCCUGGAACGGGGCGUCAUAGAGGGUGAGAAUCCCGUAUAUGCCACGGACUACCGAUGCUCUGUGAUACACUCUCAACGAGUCGAGUUGUUUGGGAAUGCAGCUCAAAAUGGGUGGUAAAUUCCAUCUAAAGCUAAAUAUUGGCGAGAGACCGAUAGCGAACAAGUACCGUGAGGGAAAGAUGAAAAGCACUUUGGAAAGAGAGUGAAACAGUACGUGAAAUUGUUGAAAGGGAAGCGUUUGAAGUCAGUCGCAUCUGUUGGGGUUCAGCCUGGCUUUUGCCUGGUGUAUUUCCUUUCCGAUGGGUCAGCAUCAGUUUCGACCGAGGGAAAAAGACAUUUGGAAUGUGGCUGUCUUCGGGCAGUGUUAUAGCCUUGUGUUGUAUGUCUCGGUUGGGACUGAGGAUUGCAGCGCGCCAUAAAUGGCCGGGGGUCGCUCCUCUCGACA
rnacentral:rRNA from 1 species